UGUUCAAAUCAUUUUUUUUCACACCAAUCACCUCUAAUAUUGAGCUUGCUUGCUAGGCAUCGACUUGUUUUCGUUGCUCUUCAUCUUCACAUGUUCUUUGUCUAUGUUGUCCAAUACGCUGGCAAUUGCACACAGGCACACCAUUGCUGAAUCGUCGAUUAGUGACGGCAUGGAUGCUUGAAUUGUGCUCUCAACUCUUUGCCUGCAUUUUAAGGUUCAUGACAGAAGUGGGGUUUAGCAAAAAACUGGACAUUGUGGCUUGUGUUUGGAUCACUCUGAGGCUGGAGCUCAUCAGCUGUGUGAGGUGAGCUUGGUUUGGGAGAGAUGACGACGUCGCUAGCAGCAGCGCAGUUGCAGAGGCUUCCCUUGGAGGAUAUUGGAGCUACAUGUCUCUUUUCAGCUGGAGCUUUCGACACCCGCUUGCCCAGUGAAGGACAUGUUUGAGCAACAAGGCAAGGAGAAAGUAUCAGCCAUACCAUGGGUUAAUGGGGUUGAUGUGAAAAUAACUGCAAAACCUGCUGAACCGCUUAUUGCAGACGAUGUUCUUGUUGGAUUUAAGAAAGUCUUCAACAUUGUGGCGGCAUCAAGCUGCAAGGUUGGACUAUUUGGUGAUUGACAUGCCGUCUGGUACGGGAGAUAUUCCGCUGACUCUAUGCCAGAUUGUCGUUAAAUUAUCUUGCGGCAAGGGUGUCUUAUAAGCUGUCAGCGAAAGGAUUUUGAACAGGAGCGGUGAUUUUCCUUAGCAGUCUACCAGCGCUAUGGUUUGAAUUGAGCAGCAAUUGCAUUCAUAUUUUCAAUCAAAUUAACCGAUCUUCUCUAUAAGUGCUUUGCUCUGAUGCUUUUUGAUAUGCCCUCGUGGCUCAGGUGGUGCCUCUGACAGCAGCCAUCAUAGUUACAAUACCUCAGAAGCUGGCAUUCAUAGACGUUGCGAAGGGAGUGCGCAUAUUUUCCAAACUUAAGGUGCCGUGUGUUGCCGUUGUGGAGAAUAUGCGUUUCUUUGAAGGUGAUGAUAAGCGCAAUUAUUCAUUCGGGAAAGGAUCUGGCGCUCAGAUAUUCUUUAUUGACAUCUCGUAAUUCCAGUGUAAAUGGUCAUUCAUAGGGCUUUCUGCUGCCGGAGAUAGUGGGAACCUAGAAGUGGUUGUGGACCCAUAAGGUCAAGUUGCCAACACCUUUUCAGAUAUUGGGGUCUGUGUGGUGCAACAAUGUGCCAAGCUUCGUCAAGCAGGUAACUGAUCUUUGUUUAUUCCGUUGCAUUGGCCAGGUGAGAAUUUCUGAGCAUACUGAAGACAUUCGUUUGAUUGAACUCAAGUGAUUACGUGCAAUUCUGGAUGCCAAUGUAACACCGUCGGAUCCUGACAGAAUGGUAUUUAUUAAUAUUUUGGCUUCAUAAAAUGUACUCGAGUUUGAGGAUUUGCUUAUCAGUUGAUUAGGUUUUAUUUCGGAGGUUGAUGUGUGUUUCACCUGCAGUAUCGACUGCGGUGACGUACAACAAGGCUAUAAAUGCACUACGAGUAAAGGCUCCUGGAUCAACUAAAGAGUUUCUACUACAUCCUGCCACUGUCCGUCGAAAUGAUCGUUCUGACAAAAGCAUUUUAUGAGUUCCUGUUUUUGAAUAGUUGGGAAUUCGAUAACAAGAUCAUUUUAUUGAGGGUGAAGUUCAUGAAACAUUCAACGUUGUAAUAUGCUUUAAAUUUCUGCUGACAGCAUAGCAGAAUCGCGAGAUUUGGGAUUGAAAUUACUGUUCCGUUUAUACUAAAGUUUUGUUAUUCUUUGACUGUAGAACAAGUGGUCAGGAGAACAAAAGCUACGGUAUACUGAUGUGUCUAAAGAUAUCCAGCCAGAAAGCAGUAGACCUAUGGGCAACUAUGCUGUUGUCAUAAAUUGGCCGGAUGGUUUCAGUCAGAUAGCACCCAACGACCAAUUGGCAUCAAUGGAACGCCUGGUUGAUGUGCCCGAGCCUGUUUCUGUUCUCGAUAACUUUAGAAGUACCGACUCUAAUCUGGAGAUACCUGUAAAUGAUGGAGUAGCAACCAUUCUCAAUCGUGCCAAUAGCGUGGCCACGAGAUUACAUUCUUGAAUUGUUUUAGGAAACUGAGCUGUAGCAUUACUUAUUUUCAGUUUUUCGCUUAAGUAUGCCAAACUAUGUAGUAAUUUAGUAACUUGUUUUUGACAGAGAUUCAUAGCAGCCUAGUUCGACUCGUGGCUAAUGAUCCCGCGUUUGCUCCCAAGUUUUUCUGCGAGAAUGUUCUCAGAUCUGUACUUCCCUUGACCACUAAUAGAAUGAGGUUUACCGUA